GAUACCCCUGUAGUCCUGGCCGUAAACGAUGAACACUAGGUGUCGGGGGAAUCGACCCCCUCGGUGUCGUAGCCAACGCGUUAAGUGUUCCGCCUGGGGAGUACGCACGCAAGUGUGAAACUCAAAGGAAUUGACGGGGGCCCGCACAAGCGGUGGAGUAUGUGGUUUAAUUCGAUGCAACGCGAAGAACCUUACCAGGGUUUGACAUCCUGCGAAUCCCUUGGAAACUUGGGAGUGCCUUCGGGAGCGCAGUGACAGGUGGUGCAUGGCUGUCGUCAGCUCGUGUCGUGAGAUGUUGGGUUAAGUCCCGCAACGAGCGCAACCCACGUCUUUAGUUGCCAGCAUUUAGUUGGGCACUCUAGAGAGACUGCCGGUGAUAAACCGGAGGAAGGUGUGGAUGACGUCAAGUCAUCAUGCCCCUUACAUCCUGGGCUACACACGUACUACAAUGCUACGGACAAAGGGCAGCAAACUCGCGAGAGCUAGCAAAUCCCAUAAACCGUGGCUCAGUUCAGAUCGUAGGCUGCAACUCGCCUACGUGAAGGAGGAAUCGCUAGUAAUCGCAGGUCAGCAUACUGCGGCGAAUACGUUCCCGGGCCUUGUACACACCGCCCGUCACACCAUGGAAGUUGGCCAUGCCCGAAGUCGUUACUCCAACCCUUGUGGAGGAGGAUGCCGAAGGUGGGGCUGAUGACUGGGGUGAAGUCGUAACAAGGUAGCCGUACCGGAAGGUGC
rnacentral:rRNA from 1 species